GGGGCGGUGGCGGAAAGGCAGACGCUGCGGACUUAAAAUCCGCUGGCCGCAAGGCCGUGAGGGUUCGAUCCCCUCCCGCCCCA
rnacentral:tRNA from 1 species